AACAACAGGAGCAGAAUUUACAUUUAGCAAACGUUUUGACAAUGGUGUCAAUGAGCAUCUGGUAUUUCAUAUUUGUGGUGAUUGUUUCUCAACAAGGUAUCAGUGGUGAUGAAAUCCGAUUAGAUCAGUCUCCUGCUGUGAUAAAGAGACCUGGAGAAACAGUGAAGAUCUCCUGUAAAAUAUCUGGUUUUACGAUGACAAGCUCCUACAUGCACUGGAUCAGACAGAAGCCAGGGAAAGCUCUGGAGUGGAUUGGGAGAGUAAACUCUGGCAGUAGUUCUAGCUCUGAUUACCUUAUCUACGCAGACUCUGUGAAAAAUCACUUCACUAUGAGUGAGGACGUGUCUCAAAGUACACAGUAUCUUGAAGCCAAGAGUCUGAGAGAAGAGGACACUGCUGUUUAUUACUGUGCUCGAGGGCCACAGUGACUCCAUCUGUUGAAGAGGCCCUACAAUAACCACAGAAAGAAGUUAUAAGGCUAUGACUAAUUACUUAGUCAUUAUUAUUUUUAAAUAUUAGUAGUCAUUGUUAUAAUAAGAUCAUCAUGAUUUUAAUUCUUUCUGGUUCUUAAAU